UACGUAGGGUGCAAGCGUUAAUCGGAAUUACUGGGCGUAAAGCGUGCGCAGGCGGCUUUGCAAGACAGAUGUGAAAUCCCCGGGCUUAACCUGGGAACUGCAUUUGUGACUGCAUGGCUGGAGUGCGGCAGAGGGGGAUGGAAUUCCGCGUGUAGCAGUGAAAUGCGUAGAUAUGCGGAGAAACACCGAUGGCGAAGGCAAUCCCCUGGGCCUGCACUGACGCUCAUGCACGAAAGCGUGGGGAGCAAACAGG
rnacentral:rRNA from 1 species